rnacentral:tRNA from 1 species
GCCCUUGUGGAGGAAUUGGUAGACUCGGCAGACUCUAAAUCUGUCGCUUCGGCGUGUGGGUUCAAAUCCCACCAAGGGUA